ensembl:miRNA mir-59 ncRNA
AGUUGAUCUAGAUAUGACAUCGUCCUGAAAACGAAACGGAACAAAAGUUCAAGAUAUUGAUUUCGAAUCGUUUAUCAGGAUGAUGUGAUUAAAAUCAACU